rnacentral:rRNA from 1 species
CCUACGGGAGGCAGCAGUGAGGAAUAUUGGUCAAUGGACGAGAGUCUGAACCAGCCAAGUAGCGUGAAGGAUGACUGCCCUAUGGGUUGUAAACUUCUUUUAUAUGGGAAUAAAAUGUUCCACGUGUGGGACUUUGUAUGUACCAUAUGAAUAAGGAACGGCUAACUUCGUGCCAGCAGCCGCGGUAAUACGGAGGGUCCGAGCGUUAUCCGGAUUUAUUGGGUUUAAAGGGAGCGUAGGUGGAUUGUUAAGUCAGUUGUGAAAGUUUGCGGCUCAACCGUAAAAUUGCAGUUGAAACUGGCAGUCUGGAGUACAGGAGAGGUGAGCGGAAUUCGAGGUGUAGCGGUGAAAUGCUUAGAUAUCUCGAAGAACUCCGGUGGCGAAGGCAGUUCACUGGACUGCAACUGACACUGAGGAUCGAAAGUGUGGGUAUCAAACAGGAUUAGAUACCCUAGUAGUC